rnacentral:rRNA from 1 species
AUUGAACGCUGGCGGCAUGCUUUACACAUGCAAGUCGAACGGUAACAGGGUGCUUGCACCGCUGAUGAGUGGCGAACGGGUGAGUAAUGCGUCGGAACGUGCCGAGUAGUGGGGGAUAACGCAGCGAAAGUUGUGCUAAUACCGCAUACGUACUGAGGUAGAAAGUGGGGGACCUUCGGGCCUCACGCUAUUCGAGCGGCCGACGUCUGAUUAGCUAGUAGGUGAGGUAAAGGCUCACCUAGGCGACGAUCAGUAGCGGGUCUGAGAGGAUGAUCCGGCACACUGGGACUGAUACACGGCCCAGCAGCCUACGGGGGGCAGCGGUGGGGAAUUUUGGACACUGGGCGAAAGCCUGAUCCAGCCAUGCCGCGUGUCUGAAGAAGGCCUUCGGGUUGUAAAGGACUUUUGUCAGGGAGGAAAUCCCUAGUGCUAAUAACACUGGGGGAUGACAGUACCUGAAGAAUAAGCACCGGCUAACUACGUGCCAGCCGCCGCCGUAA